CAUCCAUAUCACGUUGAAACAUCGAUUCUCGAUCACCGAAGUUAAGCAACGUUGAGUCUGUUUAGUACUUAAAUGGGUGACCGCUUGGGAAUACCAGGUGAUGUAAG